CUUUAUAGAGGCAUCUGCUGUGCAGAAGCAACACAGAGUGAAGGUCCUUUCUUUUGUUACCGGCAAUGAAAGGUCCUCCAUCAGGAUAUCCAUGUCAAGUCAGAUGUGCAAACGAUAAUUCAUGGUGGUGAUCCAGUGAGUGGAGAAGUAAUUUCACCCACGUCAGGCUCCAUGCUGUCCAUCUUCUGCACUGUCAGUGGACACAAAGAAGAAUAAUCACUGAAUCAUAAUCCCAAGAGUUUGAAGAAUAGAACAAGUCCAGCAACAGGAAGAAUGGAGGUCUAAAUCAUAUGGCUCGGUGUAGCAGCUGGUGUUGUGAAUCAGGCCGUUGCCAAACACAGAACGGCUACUUCACAACACCAGGGUUUCCCCUUGCCACAGUCAACUGCCCAAAGAAUUAUUCAAAAAGAAAACACUCUGCGUACGUGAGGAAUGGAAAGCUGGAUGGGCCCAACUUCAUUGUGGAACAUUUAUUUGCUGUUUUUGUGUACCUUCAAAUCAUUUCCAACUUAUGGUGACCCUAAGGUUAACCUACGAUGGGGUUUGCUUGGCAAGCUUUGUUCAGAGUGGGUUUGCCUUUACCUUCCUCUGAUGCUUGAUUUGCAUAAAGGUUGACUUGUGCAAUGGUCGACUUGCACAUUGGGUUUCCAUGGCUGAUGGGGGAUUCAAACCCUUGUCUCCGAUUGUAGUCCAACACUUAAAUCAUUAUACCAUGCUGGCUCUCAGAACAUUUAUAACCUACUUUUAAAGUAAAUGGGUGGUUUUUGAACUGGGAAA